rnacentral:rRNA from 1 species
GUGGGGAAUCUUGCGCAAUGGGCGAAAGCCUGACGCAGCCAUGCCGCGUGAAUGAUGAAGGUCUUAGGAUUGUAAAAUUCUUUCACCGGGGACGAUAAUGACGGUACCCGGAGAAGAAGCCCCGGCUAACUUCGUGCCAGCAGCCGCGGUAAUACGAAGGGGGCUAGCGUUGCUCGGAAUUACUGGGCGUAAAGGGCGCGUAGGCGGACAGUUUAGUCAGAGGUGAAAGCCCAGGGCUCAACCUUGGAAUUGCCUUUGAUACUGGCUGUCUUGAGUACGGGAGAGGUGAGUGGAACUCCGAGUGUAGAGGUGAAAUUCGUAGAUAUUCGGAAGAACACCAGUGGCGAAGGCGACUCACUGGCCAGUUACUGACGCUGAGGCGCGAAAGCGUGGGGAGCAAACAGGAUUAGAUACCCGUGUAGUCC